rnacentral:rRNA from 1 species
GGGUUGUGAGGUUAAGCGACUAAGCGUACACGGUGGAUGCCCUGGCAGUCAGAGGCGAUGAAGGRCGUGCUAAUCUGCGAUAAGCGCCGGUAAGGUGAUAUGAACCGUUAUAACCGGCGAUWYCCGAAUGGGGAAACCCAGUGUGAYUCGUCACACUAUCAUUAACUGAAUCCAUAGGUUAAUGAGGCGAACCGGGGGAACUGAAACAUCUAAGUACCCCGAGGAAAAGAAAUCAACCGAGAUUCCCCCAGUAGCGGCGAGCGAACGGGGAGGAGCCCAGAGCCUGAAUCAGCAUGUGUGUUAGUGGAAGCGUCUGGAAAGGCGCGCGAUACAGGGUGACAGCCCCGUACACAAAAGCGCAUGUGC